rnacentral:rRNA from 1 species
CUACGGGUGGCAGCAGUGGGGAAUAUUGGACAAUGGGCGAAAGCCUGAUCCAGCCAUGCCGCGUGUGUGAAGAAGGCCUUCGGGUUGUAAAGCACUUUCAGUGGGGAAGAAAGCCUUGGGGCUAAUACCCUCGAGGAAGGACAUCACCCACAGAAGAAGCACCGGCUAACUCCGUGCCAGCAGCCGCGGUAAUACGGAGGGUGCGAGCGUUAAUCGGAAUUACUGGGCGUAAAGCGCGCGUAGGCGGUCUGAUAAGCCGGUUGUGAAAGCCCCGGGCUCAACCUGGGAACGGCAUCCGGAACUGUCAGGCUAGAGUGCAGGAGAGGAAGGUAGAAUUCCCGGUGUAGCGGUGAAAUGCGUAGAGAUCGGGAGGAAUACCAGUGGCGAAGGCGGCCUUCUGGACUGACACUGACGCUGAGGUGCGAAAGCGUGGGUAGCAAACAGGAUUAGAUACCCCGGUAGUC